CCUACGGGGGACUGCAGUGAGGAAUAUUGGUCAAUGGACGAGAGCCUGAACCAGCCAAGUAGCGUGAAGGAUGACUGCCCUCUGGGCUGUAAACUUCUUUUAUAUGGGAAUAAAAUGUUCCACGUGUGGGAUUUUGUAUGUACCAUAUGAAUAAGGAUCGGCUAACUCCGUGCCAGCAGCCGCGGUAAUACGGAGGGUGCGAGCGUUGUCCGGAUUUAUUGGGUUUAAAGGGAGCGUAGGUGGAUUGUUAAGUCAGUUGUGAAAGUUUGCGGCUCAACCGUAAAAGUGCAGUUGAAACUGGCAGUCUUGAGUACAGUAGAGGUGGGCGGAAUUCGUGGUGUAGCGGUGAAAUGCUUAGAUAUCACGAAGAACUCCGAUUGCGAAGGCAGCUCACUGGACUGCAACUGACACUGAGGCUCGAAAGUGUGGGUAUCAAACAGGAUUAGAUACCCCAGUAGUC
rnacentral:rRNA from 1 species